AACGAACGCUGGCGGCAGGCUUAACACAUGCAAGUCGAGCGCCCCGCAAGGGGAGCGGCAGACGGGUGAGUAACGCGUGGGAACGUACCUUUUGGUUCGGAACAACUCCGGGAAACUGGAGCUAAUACCGGAUAAGCCCUAACGGGGAAAGAUUGAUCGCCGAAAGAUCGGCCCGCGUCUGAUUAGCUAGUUGGUGAGGUAACGGCUCACCAAGGCGACGAUCAGUAGCUGGUCUGAGAGGAUGAUCAGCCACACUGGGACUGAGACACGGCCCAGACUCCUACGGGAGGGAGCAGUGGGGAAUAUUGGACAAUGGGCGCAAGCCUGAUCCAGCCAUGCCGCGUGAGUGAUGAAGGCCUUAGGGUUGUAAAGCUCUUUUGUCCGGGAAGAUAAUGACUGUACCGGAAGAAUAAGCCCCGGCUAACUUCGUG
rnacentral:rRNA from 1 species